AGCAUCCGUAGCCGGUUGCAUAAGUUUUCGGUUAAAUCUAUGCGCUCAACGUAUAGGCCGCCGAAAAUACUGUGCAGCUAGGGAGUGGGAGAGGUACACGGUACUCAGUAGGAAGGGGUAAAAUCCUUUGAUCUAUUGAUGACCACCUGUGGCGAAGGCGGUGUACCAGAACACGUUCGACGGUGAGGGAUGAAAGCUGGGGGAGCGAACCGGAUUAGAUACCCGGGUAGUCCCAGCUGUAAACGAUGCAGACUCGGUGAUGCAUUGGCUUGUGGCCAAUGCAGUGCCGCAGGGAAGCCGUUAAGUCUGCCGCCUGGGAAGUACGUACGCAAGUAUGAAACUUAAAGGAAUUGGCGGGGGAGCACAAGCCG
rnacentral:rRNA from 2 species